AUGCCUGAGGAAGGAACUCAAGUUCUCAGCUCUUAAUUACCUCUGGCUGCGCUGCAGCAGCAAGGGCGAGAGAGAUCGUCCCUGGAAAAGUGUUGCGGGCGUUGAAAUAACAAACGAGGAGUCGGCUGGGGGCGGGGUGGGGUGGGUCUCGCGCGCCCCCAGAGAGACCCCCGAGACAGGCGAUGGGGGGAGGGAGAGGAGACCAGACAACACUGCAGAGAGACGCGGCAGAAAGCCAAAGCGGGAGGAAAGAGAACAAAAGACGCAAGGAGAGGAAGUCAAGAAAAGUCGGGGAUAAGGGAGGAGAAAGUUUGAGAAAGGGGGCGAGAAAGCAAGCAAGGACGGUGUAAGACUAGAGGAGACCGAGAAAAGGAACUGAAAGAACUCGCAGAAUUCGAGAACGAGGAGGAAAUAGGAAAAAAGACGGAGAUAGAAGCGGAAGGAAAGAGGGAAGGGGAGAGGGGAGGAUGUCGGACAGAACAGAGGGACCGGGCUGACGAGGAGGCGGGUGAGGGGUCCCGGGAGGACGCGCGCGCAUCACCUGCGUGGCGCCCCCCGCGCGCCGCGGUGCGGCCCGGCUCCCAGCGCCCGAGCGCCGCGGCUCGCCCAGCCUCGGGGAGGAUUGGCUCCCGCCUCCCAUUCAUGUAGCCUGCGUGUGUGCGUGUGUACGUGCGUGUGUGUGUGUGUGUGUGUGUGUGUGUGUGUGUGUGUGUCUCGCUCGCCCUCUCUGUGUGUAAGAGAGCGAGGGUGGGGGACGGAGGCAGGCAGGCGAGCAGGCGGGGAGGGGAAGACGAGGAGGGAAGCUAUUAAACACACACACACACACUCACACACACACACACACGCGCGCGCGCGCGCACACCCCCGCCCCAACACCCCCCUCCGCGCCCCCCCCACCCCCACCCCAAGCCUCGGGAUUGCAGCUGUUUAAUGUGGGCCAGCAGUGCUGGCAGGGACGCCGGCCGGGAGCGGCCGGGAGCGGCGGCCGGGCGUGCGCGCGCGGCUGGAGACUCGCUGGGGCUCCGCUCCCUGCGGGAGCUAUUGUUGGUCUCACUGGAGCUGAGCGCGGAGCCGGGACCUGCUCCUUCCUGGGCGCCUGCCUGCUCGGGCACGCGGAGCCGCGGAGCCCCGCCGCCUAGAGUGAGAGGAGCCACCGGUGCGGCGUCUCGCCUCUCUGCCGCCCUCCUCCUCGCUUCCCCGGCGGCGGCAGCCUGCAGCCACGGUGUGAUAUACAGUGAGAAAAGGGCCUCCUUCGAGGUGAGCACUCCACCCAGGGAGAAUGCAGGAAAGGGAUGACUUAAUCUGCCUGAGAGCCACCAAGGUAAGCCUUUAGAGAGGAGAGGUCUUCUUCUUAAAGGGCCCUGAGAGUUUAGGAGCUCUCCCAGUGGGGAAAUGUGGAAGGACUCCCCAGGCAGAGAAGAGAGCCUGGGGAAAAGGCUGUAAACUCUGCAAAAGUGCAUCUCUGAAGGAAGCCAGGUGGGAUGGCGUGACCUCAGGAAGAAGGAAGGCCCCUAGGGAGCUUGGACUUUAUUCUAAUGGGGCAGGGGAGCCAAACAUAUUGUGUGCUAUCACAUUGAGUAUCAGCAGGAGAGUCACGGGCAUCAUGCAAGAAGGCAGGAGAUGUGAAUACUGGGCCGUGUAAUUCUGUAGACAGGGAACAUGAACAUCACAAUUCAAAGCCAAGGAUUUGAGGUCAGAAUGCAAAAGUAGACUGUCUUCUACCAGGUUGUGGUUGUUCAGUCGUGAAGUUGUGUCUGACUCUUGGUGACCCCAUGGACUGCAGCACGCCAGACUUCCCUGUCCUUCAGUAUCUCCCGGAGUUUGCUCAAAUUCGUGUCCAUUGAGUCAGUGAUGCCAUCCAGCCAUCUCACCCUCUGUCACCCCCUUCUCCUUAAACCCUCAAUCUUUCCUAGCAUCAGAGUCUUUUCCAACAAGUCGGCUCUUUGCAUCAGGUGGCAACGGUAUUGGAGCUUCAGCUUCAGUCCUUCCAAUGAAUAUCCAGGGUUGAUUUCUUUUAGGAUGGACUGGUUUGAUCUCCGUGCAGUCCAAGGCACUCUCAAGAGUCUUUUCUAGCACCACAGUUUGAAAGCAUCAGUUCUUGGGUGCUCAGCCUUUUUUAUAGUCUCAUAUCCAUACAUGACUACUGGAGAAACCACACCUUUGACUAUACAGACCUUUGUCAGCAAAGUGAUAUAUUAGCUUUUUAAUAUGCUGUCUAGGUUUGUCAUGGCUCUCCUUGGUAUAUUGUCUCAUUUGGUACCACUUUCAUGUUUGGAGUUUUCCUUCAAGUCGUUAAGUUUGAGCCACAGCAUGUGGCACUGCCGCUCCUGCUAAGGGGCUUCAGUCGUGUCCAACUCUAUGCGACCCCAUAGAUGGCAGCCCACCAGGCUCUCCUGUCCCUGGGAUUCUCCAGGCAAGAACACUGGAGUGGGUUGCCAUUUCCUUCUCCAAUGCAUGAAAGUGAAAAGUGAAAGUGAAGCCUCUCAGUCGUGUCCGACCCUCAGCGACCCCAUGGACUUCGGCCUACCAGGCUCCUCCAUCCAUGGGAUUUUCCAAGCAAGAGAACUGGAGUGGGGUGCCAUUGCCUUCUCCGGCAUGUGGCACUAGAAGACUAUUAAGGAGGAGUCCCACGUGAGCCACCGGCAGCGCAGAGAAGAGUAACUGGUGGCCAGAGAGGCUGGUUGGCCUGCUCAUGGAUGCUCAUCUUUCCCUAGCAGCACAGAGCCUUGGGUUCUAGAACUUGGUCUCUGGGCUAAGGAGAACUCCAGACACAUUUCCAGUGCCUAUGUAAUAAGUGUCAGCAUCUUAAAGUACACCUGCUUUUGCAGAGCAAAAAUAAAGUUCUUUGUAGUGAUCCCGUCA
ensembl:lncRNA